CGAACUUCUUAACACAUGCUAUCGAACGAUGAAGCCCUUCGUAAUGGAUUAGUGGCGAACGGGUGAGUAACACGUGGGCAAUCUGCCCAUCACUCGCCUGGAAACGGGGUCUAAUACCGGAUAACACUCCUGCCUGCAUGGGUGGGCGUUGAAAGCUCCGGCGGUGAAGGAUGAGGCCGCGGCCUAUCAGCUUGUUGGUGAGGUAGUGGCUCACCAAGGACGUGAGAGGGCGACCGGCCACACUGGGACUGAGACACGGCCCAGACUCCUACGGGAGGCAGGGAAUAUUGCACAAUGGGCGAAAGCCUGAUGCGACGACGCCGCGUGAGAGAUCAC
rnacentral:rRNA from 1 species